rnacentral:rRNA from 1 species
AUAUAUUGCGAAAGCUAACUGUAUAUCAUUAUGCAGGAUCAACUUCGUUGAAUAAAAUUCUGGGCAAUCGUUAUCAUGAAACGGUUUACCCAUGUGUCUUGACUAAAUUGCGUGCCAGCAGUCGCGGUAAUACGUAGAAGACUAGUGUUAUUCAUCUUUAAUAGGUUUAAAGAGUACCUAGACGGUAAAUCGAGCCCUAGUCGGGACUAAUUUGCUAGAGUUACUUACGAGGGGGCUUUAAAGUACUAAUGGUGUAAAGAUAAAAUUUUGUAAUACCAUUUUUCGAAAGAAAAAUUAUGGCACUGGUAAAGGUGAAGGCAUCCCCCUAUGUGAUAACUGACGUUGAAGGACGAAGGCUUUGGGUCGCGAAUAGGAUUAGAUACCCUAGUAGUCAAAGCAGAAAAUUAUGAGUGUCAUAGACUAGACGACCAGGUUUAUUCUAUAAAUGAAAGUGUAAGCACUCCACCUCAAGAGUAAUAUGGCAACAUCGGAACUGAAAUCAUUAGACCGUUUCUGAAACCAGUAGUGAAGUAUGUUGUUUAAUUUGAUAAUCCGCAAAAAACCUUACCACAACUUGAAUAGGUAUAUCAUGUUUUGAUAUAUUUACAAGCGUUGCACGGCUGUCUUCAGUUAAUGUCGUGAGACUAUGGUUAGAUCCAUUAAAUUAACGUAAGCCCUUGCUUUAUUUUUAAAUAGAGUAGUUCUCCACUAUAUUGGAUAAGAUAACAGGGACUAAGACAAGUCAUCAUGGCCUGAAUGUUGUGGGCUAUAGACGGUGCCACA